UUGUGCUUCAUCAUAAGGGUAUUCCGGACAGGAUGCUGCAUAAUGACCAAGCCUUCCACAGGAGUAGCAGUAAUGGGACAAUCUCUCAUACCGGAAAUCGAGCCAUAGGGUCUUGCCGUCAAUACAGAUGAGUUUUCCUGUUUUCAAGGGUUCUUUUAAAUCUAAUUCAAUCCUGAUUCGUGCAGAGAUAUCAGUUUUCACAUCCUGAACUUUACCUAUCUGGGAUACAGCUCUACGCAAGAUAGGAGGAGAAGUCCAUUCCAGAGGCUUUCUUCAUCGCAACAUGAAAUGCUGAUAAAUUCACAGAAGGGUUUGUAAAAAUAUUACCCACCAGUAUAAGGCGACAAUCCUGCAGUUUGGCCGAAGCAGGGAUAUCAUCCCAAACCUCCAACUCCUGUUCCGAGCAUAAACGACCCAGGCGACUACAAAGGGAAGCAAUUCUGGAGGGGUUGCAUGUUACAGAUCGUCAACAUGCAAAGUAAGAAGUACUGAUAUUUGAGGGUGACGGAGUAGACAUCGGACGCAGAGGAAGGAGAUGACUGGAGGGAGUGGCUGGAAUUGCGCAUGCAAAGGAAGAAAAGAGGAGCAGAAGCAGUUACGGACAAGAUGGCGAUGAACACCAGUGGUUCAAAUGAAAGGCAAAGUGCAGGAGAAUAGCUUAGGGAAAUGAAGACAUGAUGAAAAACUCGAACAUUA